AGUGAACGCUGGCGGUAGGCCUAACACAUGCAAGUCGAACGGCAGCACAGUAAGAGCUUGCUCUUACGGGUGGCGAGUGGCGGACGGGUGAGGAAUACAUCGGAAUCUACUUUUUCGUGGGGGAUGACGUAGGGAAACUUACGCUAAUACCGCAUACGACCUACGGGUGAAAGCAGGGGAUCUUCGGACCUUGCGCGAUUGAAUGAGCCGAUGUCGGAUUAGCUAGUUGGCGGGGUAAAGGCCCACCAAGGCGACGAUCCGUAGCUGGUCUGAGAGGAUGAUCAGCCACACUGGAACUGAGACACGGUCCAGACUCCUACGGGAGGCAGCAGUGGGGAAUAUUGGACAAUGGGCGCAAGCCUGAUCCAGCCAUACCGCGUGGGUGAAGAAGGCCUUCGGGUUGUAAAGCCCUUUUGUUGGGAAAGAAAAGCAGCAGGUUAAUACCCCGCUGUUCUGACGGUACCCAAAGAAUAAGCGCCGGCUAACUUCGUG
rnacentral:rRNA from 1 species